AUUGAACGCUGGCGGCAUGCCUUACACAUGCAAGUCGAACGGUAGCAGGUCUUCGGAUGCUGACGAGUGGCGAACGGGUGAGUAAUACAUCGGAGCGUGCCCGAGAGUGGGGGAUAACGAAGCGAAAGCUUUGCUAAUACCGCAUACGAUCUCAGGAUGAAAGCAGGGGACCGCAAGGCCUUGCGCUCACGGAGCGGCCGAUGGCAGAUUAGGUAGUUGGUGGGAUAAAAGCUUACCAAGCCGACGAUCUGUAGCUGGUCUGAGAGGACGACCAGCCACACUGGGACUGAGACACGGCCCAGACUCCUACGGGAGGCAGCAGUGGGGAAUUUUGGACAAUGGGCGCAAGCCUGAUCCAGCCAUGCCGCGUGCAGGAUGAAGGCCUUCGGGUUGUAAACUGCUUUUGUACGGAACGAAAAGACUCCUUCUAAUAAAGGGGGUCCAUGACGGUACCGCAAGAAUAAGCACCGGCUAACUUCGUGCCAGCCGCCGCCGUAAGAC
rnacentral:rRNA from 1 species